GUGUCAGCAGCCGCGGUAAUACGGGGGGAGCAAGCGUUGUUCGGAUUUACUGGGCGUAAAGGGCGCGUAGGCGGCCACUGCAAGUCGGUUGUGAAAUCUCCGGGCUUAACCCGGAAAGGUCAAUCGAUACUGCAGGGCUAGAGUGCAGAAGGGGCAACUGGAAUUCUCGGUGUAGCGGUGAAAUGCGUAGAUAUCGAGAGGAACACCUGCGGCGAAGGCGGGUUGCUGGGCUGACACUGACGCUGAAGCGCGAAAGCUAGGGGAGCGAACGGGAUUAGAAACCCUCGUAGUCC
rnacentral:rRNA from 1 species